rnacentral:pre_miRNA from 1 species
GAUGUACUCCCUCUGUCCGGAAAUACUUGUCAUUGAAAUGGAUUUAUCUAGAUGUAUUUUAGUUCUAGACACAUCCAUUUUGAUGACAAGUAAUUCCGGACGGAGGGAGUACAUA